GAAGUUUCUUUGGCUUUUUUGGUGGGUGAAAUCAAUAUAAAAAGUCCUUUCUUCUUUUAAAAUUACUAGGGACUAAAAAACUUUGAUUUAAAACCAGGAUUAGAUACCCUGUUAUUCUCAGUUAUUCUUAGAUAGGGUAGUAAAAGUUGUUCUUCAAACCCAAAGAUUUUGGCGGCAUUUUAUCCCAAUAGAGGAGCUUGCCCCGUAAUCGAUAGUCCUCGUUUUAUCUUUCCCUCAUUUGUGAAGCUUGUAUACCGCCGUUGUCAGAUUACUUUUGGAGAAUGUUUUCAAGUUAGAAGAUUUUUUAACUUCAGGUCAAGGUGCAGUUUAUGUGAGGGUGGAGGUGAGCUACAGUUUCUACUAGGAAUUACGAAUUCUAAAUCUCGAAGUUAGUUGAAGGUGGAUUUAUUAGUAAAGUAAUUUAAGUAAA
rnacentral:rRNA from 1 species